GGGCGGUUAGCUCAGCGGUAGAGCGAUGCAUUCACACUGCAUAGGUCGGGAGUUCGACACUCUCACCGCCCACCA
rnacentral:tRNA from 1 species